rnacentral:rRNA from 1 species
CCUACGGGAGGCAGCAGUGAGGAAUAUUGGUCAAUGGACGCAAGUCUGAACCAGCCAUGCCGCGUGCAGGAUGACGGCUCUAUGAGUUGUAAACUGCUUUUGUACGAGGGUAAACCCCGAUACGUGUAUCGGGUUGAAAGUAUCGUACGAAUAAGGAUCGGCUAACUCCGUGCCAGCAGCCGCGGUAAUACGGAGGAUCCGAACAUUAUCCGGAUUUAUUGGGUUUAAAGGGUGCGUAGGCGGUUUGUUAAGUUAGAGGUGAAAUGUGGGGGCUCAACCCCGGAACUGCCUCUAAUACUGUAAAACUAGAGGAUAGGAUAGGUAUGCAGAAUGUAUGGUGUAGCGGUGAA